AAAGAGGCGAGCUCCUUUUCACAGUGAGUGAUUCUGUUAUGAACAUUUCUUUUAUCCAUUAUUUGCAUUAAAAAAUGGUUAGAAUUUUGUAAUGCUAGGCAAUUUGUGCUUUCGUCAACAUUGAAUGCCAAUUGCCAAAUCCUUAGGAUUUAAUACAUAACCAAUCUUAUCAAGCUCCAUAAACAUGUUUGAGAGCCCAUAAUAAAGUAGUUCCACAAGCAUGUGGAGUUGACUAUUUCUAUUUGUUGAAAUGAAUUGCUACUUUGUAGGAAAAUGUGUUUUUGAUCUGUGUGAUUGACUUCUAUGUUGGUCACAGGCCAUCAUCUUUU
rnacentral:misc_RNA from 1 species